UACGUAGGGUGCGAGCGUUGUCCGGAAUUAUUGGGCGUAAAGAGCUUGUAGGCGGUCUGUCGCGUCUGCUGUGAAAAAUCCGGGGCUCAACCCCGGACCUGCAGUGGGUACGGGCAGACUAGAGUGUGGUAGGGGAGACUGGAAUUCCUGGUGUAGCGGUGAAAUGCGCAGAUAUCAGGAGGAACACCAGUGGCGAAGGCGCCGCUCUGGGCCGUGACUG
rnacentral:rRNA from 1 species